GGAGGCGAAUGUGUCCCGGUGGGCGCCCCGGACUUCAAAUCCGGUGGGAGGCGGUAUAGGCCGUCUCCGGUGGGUUCGACCCCCACACGCCUCCGCCA
rnacentral:tRNA from 1 species